GAUUGACAAGUGAUUUUUGUGCCUGCCUCGACCUGUGCCCCCAGGGCACUGCAUGCACUGUACACUGGGAGGGGGAGCGUCUUCCCCUCCCGCACUGCAUAAAAGCACCAGGUGUCACGUGACUACCCGGCACUCAGUCUGUCAGUGUGCCAACGAAGAGUGAGAGCCCCCCCUCCCCUGUGAGAUAAAAUGGAAGGAAGGUGGGCCAUCUAACAAUAGGGCAGAGCAGAGCCUCUGCGAGGCUGCUUAAAAAUCGAGAAGGAGGGAGUAUGAAUGGAAGGGGUAGGGAGGGGACAUGAAUGGAGGUGGGGGGGGAGAUAUGGAUAGGGGAGUGUGACGAAGUGCCCUUCGCCACUUGGUCCUGGGGAGGCUUGCUUGCCAGCCUCCUACCCUGCGACUAUGGCCCUGGGGUGUAUGGUCCUUUUAAAUCAUUAUUUUGGUCUCAUGGACUUUUAAAAGACUGUUUCUGGCCCUUUAAAUGUUUUGGGAAAGGAUUGGUACUUUUUAUAUGGCACUUCGAAUACAGUCGAAGUGGCUGCCAUUCGACAAACGAACACGUGGCGGCGGCCAUUUUAAUUCAGUCGAAUGCGGUCAGCGAUGUGUGCCGUCAAAUCUCUGGAACUGAAAUCGGCUACACGACGGCACAAACACCGCUGAACCUUAC